rnacentral:rRNA from 1 species
UACGAAGGGGGCUAGCGUUGCUCGGAAUCACUGGGCGUAAAGCGCACGUAGGCGGAUCAUUAAGUCGGGGGUGAAAUCCUGGAGCUCAACUCCAGAACUGCCUUCGAUACUGAAGAUCUCGAGUCCGGGAGAGGUGAGUGGAACUGCGAGUGUAGAGGUGAAAUUCGUAGAUAUUCGCAAGAACACCAGUGGCGAAGGCGGCUCACUGGCCCGGUACUGACGCUGAGGUGCGAAAGCGUGGGGAGCAAACAGG